rnacentral:rRNA from 1 species
AACGAACGCUGGCGGCAGGCCUUUAAGUGCAAGUCGAGCGCACCUUCGGGUGAGCGGCGGACGGGUUAGUAACGCGUGGGAACGUGCCCUUCUCUACGGAAUAGCCUCUGGAAACGGAGAGUAAUACCGUAUACGCCCUUUGGGGGAAAGAUUUAUCGGAGAAGGAUCGGCCCGCGUUAGAUUAGGUAGUUGGUGGGGUAACGGCCUACCAAGCCUACGAUCUAUAGCUGGUUUUAGAGGAUGAUCAGCAACACUGGGACUGAGACACGGCCCAGACUCCUACGGGAGGCAGCAGUGGGGAAUUUUCCGCAAUGGGCGAAAGCCUGACGGAGCAACGCCGCGUGAGGGAUGAAGGCCUCUGGGCUGUAAACCUCUUUUAUCAAGGAAGAAGAUCUGACGGUACUUGAUGAAUAAGCCACGGCUAAUUCCGUG